rnacentral:rRNA from 1 species
GUCUUUUUGAUAUUAAUUUAAAGUCGGGCCUGCCCACUGAAUUAUGAAGGGCCGCGGUAUUUUGACCGUGCAAAGGUAGCAUAAUCAUUAGUUUUUUAAUUAAAAACUAGAAUGAAUGGUUUGAUAAAAAAAUAACUGUCUCAAUUUAAUUUUAUUAAAAUUUUAUUUUUAAGUUAAAAAGCUUAAAUUAUUUUAAAAGACGAGAAGACCCUAUAGAAUUUAAUAUUAAUUUUAUUAUAAUUUUAGGUUUUAAAUUUUAUAGUAUAUAUUAUUAUUUAAUUGGGGUGAUUAAAAAAUUAAAUUAACUUUUUUUAUAAAUUUACAUAAAUUAAUGAAAUAUUGAUCCAUAUUUAAUGAUUAUAAGAUUAAACUACCUUAGGGAUAACAGCGUAAUUUUUUUAGAGAGUUCUUAUCGAAAAAAAAGAUUGCGACCUCGAUGUUGGAUUAAAGUUAAUUUUUGGUGUAAAAGUUAAAAAUUUAAGUCUGUUCGACUUUUAAAUCUUUACA